UUGUUCCUUUGCUGCCGAUACAUGCCGACGCAGCUACCUACUUGAACUACUGCUACGGUUAGUAUUACCACGAUAAAAGAAUCAACUAAUAAUUGGCGGGCUCGAUCCAAGACAUUUUAGGUUGCACACCACAUGUAACACUGACGAAAAAUACUAUGCAUUCCUGUUAGUUACAGAAACUCAUGUCAAGACUGUCCGGACUUCAAGAAAUGAUAUUUUUCCCCUUCUUCUGCAUACAGUUCCAGAGUCUGAUUUCCUUAACACUCAGACAAUGUCAGGUGCCUGGCGAUUAAAGGGAAAGUCCGGCAAACAGGACGGGACGAUGAAUUAAGUUGGGAAGCAUGUGCCCGGCUAAUGGGGCAGUUAGAUAUUCAUGAGCUCUGAAGCUUCCAGAGUGUCUCGUUAAGCUAGCUGAGCCUGGCACCCCCCUCCCCUGCAAGAGGACAGAGCUUGGACAGCAUUCCUCUGAAGAGGGCGAAACAGAGGAGUGUGAACCCCCCUCCCCAUUCCUGCACUGGCCAAGGGGGUGUUAGGCAGUGUGCCGGUUCCUGCUGUUGGGCUGGCUUUCACUCCCAAAGCCUCUCUGCUGUCCAGUGUUUUCUUCCCUGCCCCUGCUGUCACACUCCCCCUUCCCAGCGCUCCCGUUAGCAGAGUGGCUGGGCUGCAGGCCGGGGAGAGAUGAGCCCAGCUGCACGAUACAACAGCGCUGGGGAACAAAGGCAGCAGGAUGGAGCUGCUCCUGGGGAUGAAGACAGGAGGGAUAACGACAACUGGCACAGAGCAGGACAGGGGGCAGAGAGAGUGAGAAUUAGCCUGCCGGAAUGCGGUCAUGUCAGGAUGAGUCUGGAGGAAGGGUACCAAGUGAGGUCCCAGGACUUGAUUGAUGUCGUAUCAUGCAGACACAUGUCUAUCACUCACUACAAGUCAAGCAAGUCAAGUUCUGCAGCAACCUGACACUCCUGUCCACACCAUCCCAGGCGUGGUGAGGUGUUGUGACGUGUUGUCUUGCAGGUCAUGAACAUGGCAGAAGAGAAAUUUCUAGCUGUGAAGGUUUCAGCUGCUAUGGGCGCUGUCUCUCCUUGUACCCAAGUGCUGAUAGUUGUCCUGUGGAGAUCGGAAUGGAAUGAAGUACAGAUGUCUGUUGCGC